CCUGGUGGCUCAGAGGUUAAAGCGUCUGCCUGCAAUGCGGGAGACCUGGGUUCGAUCCCUGUGUCAGGA
rnacentral:tRNA from 1 species